UUCUCCUUUGCUAGCAAAGCAAUAAAUCAUUUAUUUCUUUUUUCUCAAAACUGUGUCCUGGUUAUUAGAUUGGCAUGGGGACAGAGCUUUCGGCAACACCUCCAGAGCAGUUGCAAGCAGCAUUUUAUUCCCUUAUGUGCAGGGUGCCUCCUCCGUUCUCCCUGGCUGAGGACUGCUGGUGUACAGUCUUUCUGGAUGUUGCCUAGGUUUGACUCUCUCCUAUGGGGUCUCCACUUCUCUGUGAUCUCUUGGGAGAGAGCUGGAGAAAAACACUUCUGCCUGCUGUUCUUUUCUGUGGAUGCCGGUCUUAAAAUGAAGUUACCUCUGGCUGCUCCUGAAUGUUGAAGAAAGCAAAGCUAUUUCUUCCACUCAGACCCUGCCCCUGGUGUGGGGUUCACUGGAGUCAAGAGAAAGCCCAUCACCAUUGUGCUCUCCGUUACUGGAACAACCAGCCCCCCCUGGGAAGGAGAAAGGUCUAGUGGCCGCCAUAGGCUGCCAGGAACUAAGAAACCUGUUUCUGCUUCCUGCCUUGUUCUCUGAGCCACUUCCCCUAAGGUGACACCUUCUGUGCUUUGGUCGGGACAUCAGGCUCCCUGUGCUUCUAUACCAGUUCUGUGGGACCUGACGGCUGGUCCUAGUUGAGACUGAGAUGUGAGUUUGGGGAUGCAGGAAAAAAAAAAAAAGACUGAGUCUCAAAAGAGAGGUGCCUGUUGGAAUGCAAAAGAAACAACUUGUCCCAUGUCCUUGGCCCUCCUUCUUGGCCCCUGUCCUUGCCUGCAAAAGGUACCAUGGCGCAAAGGCAAGGAAACUGACUCUACCCUGACUCCACUUCUAGUUGUUCCAGCCCCUCAUACUGUCCCCCUAAAUUUUCUUAUUUAUUCUUGUCCUGGGGGAUUGAAUGCUCAGCCACUCUAUCACUGAGCCAGGUAACUAUGCUUUUU